AUUGAACGCUGGCGGCAGGCCUAACACAUGCAAGUCGAGCGGAGCGGCGGACGGGUGAGUAAUGCCUAGGUAUCUGCCUGGUAGUGGGGGAUAACGUCCGGAAACGGACGCUAAUACAGCAUACUAUCAGAUGAGCCUAGGUCGGAUUGGCUAGUUGGUGGGGUAAAGGGCUAACAGGGCGACGAUCCGUAACUGGUCUGAGAGGAUGAACAGUCACACUGGAACUGCGACACGGUCCAGACUCCUACGGGAGGCAGCAGUGUGGAAUAUUGGACAAUGGGCGAAAGCCUGAUGCAGCCAUGCCGCGAGUGUGAAGAAGGCCUUCGGGUUGUAAAGCACUUUCAGCGGGGAGGCGUUACCCGCAGAAGAAGCACCGGCUAACUCCGUGCCAGCAGCCGCGGUAAUAC
rnacentral:rRNA from 1 species